GACGAACGCUGGCGGCGUGCUUAACACAUGCAAGUCGAACGGAAAGGCCCUGCUUUUGUGGGGUGCUCGAGUGGCGAACGGGUGAGUAACACGUGAGUAACCUGCCCUUGACUUUGGGAUAACUUCAGGAAACUGGGGCUAAUACCGGAUAGGAGCUCCUGCUGCCUGGUGGGGGUUGGAAAGUUUCGGCGGUUGGGGAUGGACUCGCGGCUUAUCAGCUUGUUGGUGGGGUAGUGGCUUACCAAGGCUUUGACGGGUAGCCGGCCUGAGAGGGUGACCGGCCACAUUGGGACUGAGAUACGGCCCAGACGCCUACGGGAGGCAGCAGUGGGGAAUAUUGCACAAUGGGCGGAAGCCUGAUGCAGCAACGCCGCGUGCGGGAUGACGGCCUUCGGGUUGUAAACCGCUUUCGCCUGUGACGAAGCGUGAGUGACGGUAAUGGGUAAAGAAGCACCGGCUAACUACGUG
rnacentral:rRNA from 1 species